UAGGAAUUGUACUUCUUUGAAGCUGUUCCUGGAAGGGGGGUGGGCUGUGCAGCAGUCACUCGGCCCCCAGUACCUAACACAGGACAAGCUAUGGGAGAGGACCAGUGAAGAUAUCCCUGCCAUGGGAAUAAAUUGUUUCUGAUCUGUGUGGUGAUGAAGAAAGUUUGACACAGAGUUCAGGAGAAUUACUCAUUUGCAAAUGCACAUCUUCAGCUGGAUGAAGAUAAGGCCUCAAGCUCAUUUUGGCAAUAUGCUUCACUGCGAAUUUCCAACCUGCCUAUACCAUGCAGAGUGAAUGUACAUCUGAGAUACAUCAUCUACUGUCACAGAACAUCUGUCUGUUCAACCAAUUUCCAUGGCAAAAAAACAAAUUGAUAAAACAAAAAGAGGGGGGGGGAAGAAUUAGAGGAAAAAAAUCAUUCUGUGCUUAGUUCCUGUGGAGAAUAAUAAUCUCUUUCAAUCAGACUGUAAACUCUCUGCAGCAGUGCUAUAGCAGUGAAUCGAGUCACUAUGAAACAAGCGAAUACAGUAACAAUAAAUAUAUUUAUUGCUAAUUCCCUGGUAUAGCAAUAAACUGGCUUUAGUCAUCUACUUGAGAAAAUGAAAUAACCAGAAAUGUUUGGCUUCAGUACAACUUUAGUGGACAUUCUUGUCCAUGUUCUGUUAACAAUAUAGAGUCAUAUUUGGAGGAAUCUUACUGAGAUAAACGGGGCAAAGAAUACAGAUUAUGUUUGGGCAGGCUAACUCAGAUGUGCCACAGUCACCUGGAUUAUCUGCUUGAAAUUGAACCUGCCCUGAGAGGGAGGACUCUCUGGAGUCCUGAGCCUACAAAUUGAGUAAACUUUUGACAGAAUUUUGGAUGUACAGAACUUUGUUUUCUUAGUUCCUAAAUGACUGUUGGGUUAAAUAUUGCAUGAAUACAUUUACACUAAUGCUUAAAACACUGCUGUAGAAUUAUAGGAAGAAAAAUAGUUGUAUUUUAAUGUAGUUGAAGUAUUUCACAGUAUCAGUUUUAGUACUGAAGCUUUUUGCUUAGGUAAAACUGUAUCCUGUGAGAUAAAUGUUUGCUUGUAACAAAUGGCAGAGUCUGUAAUUAGGUGUAUCCAUAAUUAGGCGUCUGAUACUGAUUUGGAGUGGUCUAUGUUUAUUAGUUGUAAGAAGCAGAUUUCCAGCUCAUUAAAGCCAAUGGGAGUCUUUAGUCAGACAUCCAGCAGCGGACUCAGAACAGAGAUUUCAGAAAAGUAGUUUUUGGUUAAGCUAGAAAUGUCAAGCUAUCAUAACUUGAAGGAAACUGGGUUAAGGAUGUGAGAGAAACUGUAGGUCAAGCUUUUUUAUGUGAUGUGCUGUGUGGCUAUUUACUUGAAUUAAAAAUGCUUGAAUCUGAAA